rnacentral:misc_RNA from 1 species
GAAAUGCGAUAAUUAAUGUGAAUUGCAGAAUUCAGUGAAUCAUCGAGUCUUUGAACGCACAUUGCGCCCCCUGGUAUUCCGGGGGGCAUGCCUGUCCGAGCGUCAUUGCUGCCCUCAAGCACGGCUUGUGUGUUGGGCUUCCGUCCCUGGCAACGGGGACGGGCCCAAAAGGCAGUGGCGGCACCAUGUCUGGUCCUCGAGCGUAUGGGGCUUUGUCACCCGCUCCGGUAGGUCCAGCUGGCAGCUAGCCUCGCAACCAAUCUUUUUAACCAGGUUGACCUCGGAUCAGGUAGGGAUACCCGCUGAACUUAAGC